UACGGAGGGUGCGAGCGUUGUCCGGAAUCAUUGGGCGUAAAGGGCGCGUAGGUGGCGGGGACAAGCGUGCGGUGAAAGCUCGGGGGCUCAACCCCCGAGUCGGGCCCGUGCGAACUGUUUUUGCUUUGAGCACUGUAGAGGCAGGCGGAAUUCCGGGGUGUAGCGGUGGAAUGCGUAGAGAUCCGGAAGAACACCGGUGGCGAAGGGCGGCCGCUGGGGCAGUGCUGACACUAGGGCGCGACAGCGUGGGGGGGACAAACAGGGAUUAGAAAACCCCCAGGUA
rnacentral:rRNA from 1 species